ensembl:processed_transcript Gm17396 predicted gene, 17396
ACUGAGAGAGCCUCUCCAGGGAGCCGGGCACGCAGUCCAGAAGGCUGCAGUAUUUCCUCCAAGGGGGGAAAAAGAAGAUGAAAAAGAAGAAGAAAAAGAAAGAAAGAGGCUGCUGCCACCCCUCUGCUAGCUAUCUGGAAUAGCACAGUGAGCAGCGUCUGCAGCCGAGCCGCGGGUGGAACCGAACCCCAGCUUCUCUGUGAAGUGCCUGGGUGGGGCAUGGCCCAGCCUCCCUGCCCUGCUCCGACCAGGGCUCCCAAGCUCCCAAGCUGCUUCUCCUCUUCAAUCGCCAAGUUCCCAGAGUAUUGCACACAAAAAAAUUGAACAAAAACUCAUAAUUACUUGUCAGAGUUUUUCCCCCCACCAGUAAUAAUAUUCCGACACGUCGAUCAGCUGCUACAUUAUAAUACAGAUUGUUUCAGAGAAGAUAGAUCUCCUUAAAGGGUUUCUCUGCAAGGCGGCGGUGAGGCUAAAAUUAGCUGUGCCAGCUGUGUUUUGCUGGGAGUGCUCACGCAUGCCCGGAGCGUGGGCAGCCAGCCUCUGUGCCUCUCCACUCCCCCAAGUCUGCCGAACACUCCAGCCGUCCUUUCAGAUAAAAGACUCCAGGUACAAAGGCAGUUUCCUCACAUGGAGGGAGAAUUGAAACUGCAAUACACAGGAUGCCACCUCUGCUUUAAGUCCCGCCUGCCACUCAUGGGGUAACAACCUAGGCUCCUGUGCUCCUUAGCUCCAGGAAGCUCAGUUCUGAAGUCUGGGUACCAGCAGAAAGACAAGGACACGGAGACAUCACAUUGGGUUUUAUGUCGAUUCUCUCUCUCUCUCUCUCUCUCUCUCUCUCUCUCUCUCUCUCUCUGUGUGUGUGUGUGUGUGUGUGUGUUUCUCUUUUUUAAAAGACAGGGUCUCAGAUACCCCAAGCUGCUCUUAAAACUUGCUGUGAAACGGAAUGAUUUUGGCUUCUGAUUCUCCUGCCUUCCAUCGCCCAGCACUGGUAUUGAAGGCAUAAAUUAAUGAAUGAACCAGGUUCCUGUGGGCACUGGCUGUGGAACCUAGGACCCUGCCCACAAUGGGCAAGCACUCUACCAACACAGCUAUCUCUUGAUGACAAAAAUCAGAACUUGGGUUGGAAAGUGGGUAUGGGACACCUGUGAUGGAAACAUAUCAAGACAGCUUCACUCAUGGACCUCAAUUAUUCCAUCCAUAAAAUGGAGAAGGACAGCAACUGAAAUCAGGCACCAAUCUCAAAGUCUUCUGGCCACAUCUUCCUCUCUAGAGAACUUGUCAAGCAUCUGGGAAUCUCGUUGUUCCUUCCUUUCUGCUUGGUAUCAGACUGUAAAUUCUACUCUUCACACUUCAUGGUCCAGCUCUGAGUGCCACUGAGCAGAGGUCAUGUUGGUGAUCGCCAAGCUCACACCAGGCAUCCUCUGCCAGCAUGAACAUGCCCCCCUGAAGCAGUCUUCCUGAAACCCUCACUUCCCAAGGUAUAGUUGGUUUUCCCCAAGUUGGUUUCUCCCACGACCUUCUAAACUCAGAACAGCAGGUCAUAGCCUCCUCUGUAGCCUUAAGAACUAGCAAGGCCAGACACAAAGCAUGUGUUCUGACAUGCUUGGAGAACAAAAUAUCCUGGACAUAAUAAACAAUUUGUCCCUC